AUUGAACGCUGGCGGCAGGCCUAACACAUGCAAGUCGAGCGAGCGGCGGACGGGUGAGAAAUGUAUGGGGACUGCCCGAUAGAGGGGGAUAAAUACUGGAAACGGUAGCUAAUACCGCAUACUAUCGGAUAACCCAUAUGGGAUUAGCUAGUAGGUGGGGUAAUGGCUCACCUAGGAGACGAUCCCUAGCUGGUCUGAGAGGGUGAUCAGCCACACUGGGACUGAGACACGGCCCAGACUCCUACGGAGGCAGCAGUGGGGAAUAUUGCACAAUGGGCGCAAGCCUGAUGCAGCCAUGCCGCGUGUAUGAAGAAGGCCCUAGGGUUGUAAAGUACUUUCAGUCGAGAGGCGUUACCGACAGAAGAAGCACCGGCUAACUCCGUGCCAGCAGCCGCGGUAAUAC
rnacentral:rRNA from 1 species